AUUGAACGCUGGCGGCAUGCCUUACACAUGCAAGUCGAACGGUAACAGGGCUUCUGAUGCUGACGAGUGGCGAACGGGUGAGUAAUACAUCUGAACGUGCCCGAUCGUGGGGGAGAACGGAUCGAAAACUUUGCUAAUACCCCAUACGAGCUACGGAUGAGAGCAGGGGAGCGCAAGGCCUUGCGCGGACGGAGCGGCCGAUGGCAGAUUAUGUAGCUGUUGGGGGAAAAGCUUACCAAAGCGACGAUCUGUAGCUGGGCUGAGAGGAUGAGCAGCCACACUGGAACUGAGACACGGUCCGGACUCCUACGGGAGGCAGCAGUGGGGAAUAUUGGGCAAUGGGCGAAAGCCUGAUCCAGCCAUGCCGCGUGUGUGAAGAAGGUCUUCGGAUUGUAAAGCACUUUAAUUUGGGAAGAAGAACAGUAAGUGAAUACCUGGCUGUUUUGACGUUACCAACAGAAUAAGCACCGGCUAACUUCGUG
rnacentral:rRNA from 1 species